CUGUGUUGUUGGAUGAUUGAAAGUAUGAAGUGGUGGAGAGAAGUUGCUGGAGGAACUGGGAAAGUUGGAUAAAGGAAGUUACAACCAACAGGUAGCUGGGCCUGGGGUUUUGGGCUGACCCCAGUUGGACAGUGACCAGUGAGACAGCAUUUGGAAUGGGGAGAAGCUGGCCCUGGGUUGAUGGGGCCCUGGGUUGAUACCAACCUUCACUGGAUACAAAUAAAAGGUUCCCAAUCAAGAGGACGGAAGAUCGACAGGUGUUCUUUAAACUCGGCCAACCAAACGGAUGAUAACCAAGCUACUAAAUCCAGGAAGUGAGGACCGAGCCUGGGAGGUCUCUGCUUAGACUGGUUGGGUGUCUGAAUCACGAUUACAUUAACUAAGCUCAGAGCAUUCUUCACUAAUCCACAGGAGCACAAUGACCAAAACGCUCACUGUUGGUCUCCAGUCUAGAUCAACAACUUAACAUGGCCAUAAUUCAAUCCAUUGAGUUCCUGCUUAUGUGACCCUGCAUUCAUGUGGAUAUCCUUUAAUAGAUGAACAACUGUGAAGUAUUUAUUGAUUUGGCUAUAUAAUUUUUAAAAGCUAGAGAGGCAGAACAUCUACACAAUUUCAAUUUGGACAGUCAUUCUAGCAGGAUCGAGAUUCUGAGAUAUUAUAUAUAUAAAAAAGAAAUAGGUGAUUACAGUAUUAUGCUGUGCUAUAUGAUGUCUCUUUUUUACAUUAUGUGGGGUGAGUAGUCAGGAAAUUGACUUGAAUUGAUGCCUUGUAGUGGAAUAACCAGCCAGCCAGGGACAUUUUUUUUAUAUUAUAUGGGCAAUGAUUAUAUAUUUCAUAAAGGGCAGGAGUUGGAUCGGUUACCUUUUCCCAUAAGAAGCGUUAACCACUAUUCAAAAUCAAUUUUUCAAUAUCUAGCUUUAAUCUCUGCAAUGACAACUGGCAAUAGCAUUUAAUGCCAGUCCCCGAUACUGCAAUAGUAGUGGAUUUUAAAGAAAAUUCCAGUUUUUUGAUAGUUUCUUAGUUCAGACAGAUAUUAGAAUGUUUGAAUUAAAUGUAGGCUUUUUAACUUCCACUUGCCGACUCAUUUUUAUUGCAUGCAUGCUCUGGAACCAGGUAACACCACCAAACCGCAGCCAUAACAAAUUCAGAAACUAGGCAGGCAUGCAAAGAGAAGGAGAUUACUCUGACAUGUGUGUGAUAAUGGGGUGAGUUAUAAGGUCUGCUGUAUAAAUCCUCCUUAGGGACGCCCACUGCACUCCAAGGUGGUAGCCUCUUUUAGUUGUUUGCCCGUUGUACCAAAAAGUGGAAAUGUGGUGGAUUAGAAAAUUAGAAAAGGAUGAGAGCUGGUAGCAAUGAAUAACUUUCAGAAAUAUUUAGAUGAAUUCUUCCUAAGCCAAAUGGUAUUUUAUUCACAGACUCUAAAGAGAAAGUUACAUUUCAGAACCCUCUUUGAAAAUCAACUUAUCAAAUCUUCUUUUCAAAUAAUCCUAUCCUGUGCAAACUUCAACAUUUGGCAGGCAUACAUUUGAAAAGCAAUUCUGAUAUUGUGCUUUAGUGUUCUGCAUAUCCAUAUGCUGCAGUUUAGCUUCUCUGGGGAUGAUCUGCAAAUUGAUUUCUGUAAACUUAGAUGAUUAAACAUUUAAUAUUGAAAGUACUGAGAAAUUCAAUUCAAAGACAUCAAAAACUUUGGAUGAACAAUUCCAUACUUCAGAUUUAAAAGGGACAAAAAAGGAUACAUGAAAAACAUAAGGAGGAUGAUGAACAAGAGGAUGCUAUUGGAACCAUCAAUGUUCGUCCAAAUUCCUAGUAGCUAAUUGAUCACUGAACUUAGUUUUGUUAGUCAAUAACUGACAAUAUAGCUUGGUAACCAGUAACAUAUACUCACAACUCUCUGUGUAAAAAGUAUCUCCUACC